ACUCAAAGGAAUUGACGGGGGCCCGCACAAGCGGUGGAACAUGUGGUUUAAUUCGAUGCAACGCGAAGAACCUUACCUGGGCUUGACAUCUACGGAACCUUCUGGAAACAGGAGGGUGCCUUCGGGAGCCGUAAGACAGGUGGUGCACGGUUGUCGUCAGCUCGUGUCGUGAGAUGUUGGGUUAAGUCCCGCAACGAGCGCAACCCUCGUGGUCUGUUGUUACAGGUCGUAAGAUGCUGAACCCUCAGGCCAGACUGCCGGUGACAAACCGGAGGAAGGUGGGGAUGACGUCAAAUCAUCACGCCCCUUAUGUCCAGGGCUACACACGUGUUACAAUGGGUAAGAGACAAUGGGUCGCUUGGCAGCGAUGUCUGGCAAAUCCCAGAAACUCUCCCUCAGUUCGGAUCGUAGUCUGCAACUCGACUACGUGAAGUCGGAAUCGCUAGUAAACGCAGAUCAGCACGCUGCGUUGAAUACGUUCCCGGGCCUUGUACACACCGCCCGU
rnacentral:rRNA from 1 species